rnacentral:rRNA from 1 species
UCAAGUUAUGAAGGGCGCAGGGUGGAUGCCAUGGCACUGGACGCCGAAGAAAGACGUGGUAAGCUGCGAAAAGCCACGGGGAGCCGCAAGCAGGCUUUGAUCCGUGGAUGUCUGAAUGGGGAAACCCGGCGGAAGUAAUGUUCCGUCAUCCGUGAAUGAAUCCAUAGUUCACGAGAAGGGCACCCGGGGAACUGAAACAUCUAAGUACCCGGAGGAAAAGAAAGAAACAUCGAUUUCGUCAGUAGCGGCGAGCGAAAGCGAAGGAGCCCAAACCAUCCGACUACGGUUGGGUGGGGUUGUGGGUCAGCGACAUGUACGAUGAUGCUUAGGAGAAGAGUUCUGGAAAGGACUUCCAAAGAGGGUAAGAGGCCCGUAUCCGAAAAGUUGAAUCGGCUAGCUGAUACCAGAGUACCACAGGACACGAGGAAUCCGGUGGGAAGCAGGAGGGACCACCCUCCAAGGCUAAAUACGAUCCAGUGACCGAUAGCGCAUAGUACCGUGAGGGAAAGGUGAAAAGAACCCCGGGAGGGGAGUGAAAAAGAACCUGAAACCCUGUGCUUACAAGCAGAGAGAGCACAAUUAAGUGUGAUCUCGUACUUUUUGUAGAACGGACCGGCGAGUUACGUUAUGCAGCGAGGUUAAGGACUAAAGGUCCGGAGCCGAAGCGAAAGCGAGUCUGAAUAGGGCGCAUAGUUGCAUGACGUAGACCCGAAACCGGGUGACCUAUCCAUGGGCAGGUUGAAGUGGAAGUAAAAUUUCAUGGAGGACCGAACCAGACGUCUGUUGAAAAAGGCGGGGAUGACCUGUGGAUAGCGGAGAAAUUCCAAUCGAACCCGGAGAUAGCUGGUUCUCCUCGAAAUAGCUUUAGGGCUAGCCUCGCAUUAGUUUACCGGAGGUAGAGCACUGAAUGGUCUAGGGGGCCUCACCGCCUACCGAAACCUAUCAAACUGCGAAUGCCGGAUAAAUGAUGUGCGGGAGUCAGGCCGCGAGAGAUAAGUUCCGCGGUCAAAAGGGGAACACCCCAGAUCGUCUGCUAAGGUCCCUAAGUACGCGUUAAGUGGGAAAGGAUGUUGGAUUGCACAGACAACCAGGAUGUUGGCUUAGAAGCAGCCACACAUUCAAAGAGUGCGUAAUAGCUCACUGGUCGAGUGAUCCAGCGCCGAAAAUGUAACGGGGCUAAAACGCGACACCGAAGCAGCGGGAUGCGUAAGCAUCGGUAGAGGAGCAUUGUGUGAGGGUUGAAGCCAGAGCGAGAGCACUGGUGGACUUCACAGAAGAGAGAAUGCCGGUAUGAGUAGCGAGACCCAUGCGAGAAACAUGGGCGUCGAAGGCCCAAGGUUUCCUGGGGAAGGUUCAUCCACCCAGGGUAAGUCGGGACCUAAGCCGAGGACUGAGGUCGUAGGCGAUGGACAGCAGGUAGAGAUUCCUGCACCACUUAUACUUGUUUGACGAAGCAGUGACACAGAAGGAUAGGACGAGCGCGGUGAUGGUCAACCGCGUAGGCGGCACGAGGCCGGGAAGCAGUGAAGUACACUUCCCGCAAAGGCUGAGUGUUGACAGGACCGAAAAGAAGUAGGGAAGCGUCCGAGUUCACGCUGGCGAGAAAAGCUGCUAAGGAGAGUGUGAGUGCCCGUACCGGAAACCGACGCAGGUGGGCGAGGAGAGAAUCCUGAGACGGACGGGAGAACUCUUGUUAAGGAACUCGGCAAAAUGACCCCGUAACUUCGGGAGAAGGGGUGCCUCGAAAGAGGCCGCAGAGAAUAGUCACAAGCGACUGUUUAGCAAAAACACAGGUAUCUGCGAAAGCGAGAGCUGACGUAUAGGUGCUGACGCCUGCCCGGUGCUGGAAGGUUAAGGGGAAGUGUUAGGGGAAACCCGAAGCAGAGAACCGAAGCCCCAGUAAACGGCGGCCGUAACUAUAACGGUCCUAAGGUAGCGAAAUUCCUUGUCGGGUAAGUUCCGACCCGCACGAAUGGCGUAACGACUUGUGAGCUGUCUCAACAGGAGGCCCGGUGAAAUUGAAGUAUGUGUGAAGAUGCACAUUACCCGCGACUGGACGGAAAGACCCCGUAGAGCUUUACUGUAACCUGACAUUGGAUCUUGAUAACGGAUGCACAGGAUAGGUGGGACGCUGGGAGACGAGGACUUUGGUUUUCGUGGAGCGGCCGUUGGGAUACCACUCUUCUGUUAUUGAGAUUCUAACCUCAAGCCGUGAGCCGGAUGAGAGACAGUGUCAGGCGGACAGUUUGACUGGGGCGGUCGCCUCCGAAAGAGUAACGGAGGCGCCCAAAGGUACCCUCAGAAUGGAUGGAAACCAUUCGAAGAGAGCAAAGUCAGAAGGGUGCUUGACUGCGAGACCAACAAGUCGAGCAGGUACGAAAGUAGGGCUUAGUGAUCCGGCGGUAAGAGAGUGGAAUUGCCGUCGCUCAACGGAUAAAAGCUACCUCGGGGAUAACAGGCUGAUCUCCCCCAAGAGUUCACAUCGACGGGGAGGUUUGGCACCUCGAUGUCGGCUCAUCGCAUCCUGGAGCUGAAGUCGGUUCCAAGGGUUGGGCUGUUCGCCCAUUAAAGCGGUACGCGAGCUGGGUUCAGAACGUCGUGAGACAGUUCGGUCCCUAUCUGUCGUGGGCGCAGGAAAUUUGAGAAGAGCUGUCCUCAGUACGAGAGGACCGGGAUGGACGCAUCAAUGGUGGACCAGUUGUCACGCCAGUGGCAUAGCUGGGUAGCUAAAUGCGGAAGGGAUAAACGCUGAAGGCAUCUAAGUGUGAAACCCACUUCAAGAUGAGAUUUCCCAUUGCGCAAGCAAGUAAGACCCCUUAAAGACGAUAAGGUAGAUAGGUCAGGAGUGUAAGCAUGGUGACAUGUUAAGCGGACUGAUACUAAUAGGUCGAGGGCUUGACCGA